UCCGCGUGCUCCUGCGCCCUUUUCCUCCUGACCUGUUCCGGACAAACCAAGCUUCACUUAGAUUGGACGUGCGUGAUUUCCUUCAAGGCAGCAGGGAGAACAAGCAUGGGUGAGUUCCUGGUCAGCGCCUCCACGGGCGCCAUGGGCUCAGUCUUGUCCAAGCUGGCCACCAUGCUGAGCGACGAGUGCAAGGCAUUCAAGAAUGUGCGCGGCGACAUCAAGGACCUCAAGAAAGAGCUUGAGCACAUGCACGCUUUCCUCCUUGCCAUGGCGGACGUGGAGGAUCCCGACGAGCAGACCAAGCUCCGGGCAAGAGAUGUGCGGGAGCUCUCCUACGACAUCGAGGACACCAUCGACAAGUUCACGGUGCAUUUUGAACGUGAAUGCAACCCCAAGUCUCGGGGCUUCAAGGUGCUCGUCGAUAAAUGCAGGAAGCUGAUGACAAGCGACAUCAAGAUCCGUCGUCAGAUCGCCAAGGAGGUGAAAGACAUCAAGAACCAGAUCAAGGACACCAGCGAGAGAUAUGCGAGGUACAGCACUACCGCUGGUGGCUGCAGUACAAGGAAUGUGGUGGUUGACACACGAGUUCUUGCUGUGUUUAAGGACACAUCAGAGCUUGUUGGCUUAGAUGGCCCGAGUGAUGAGCUUGUCAAGUUGCUCAAGUUUGAGGAGGGCGACUCUGCGCAUCAUUUGGAAGUUGUCUCUAUUGUUGGAUUUGGGGGGCUAGGAAAGACAACUCUGGCUAACCAUGUCUAUAACAAGCUUGGAGAAAACUUUGACUGUCGGGCUUUCGUUUCAAUUUCACGAAAUCCUGAUACAUCCAUGAUUUUGAACUCUAUCUUAUCUCAAGUCGGCAGCCAAAAGAAUGCCAAUGGUUUUGCAGAGGUUCAACAAGUCAUCAGGGAUAUAAGAGAAUUCCUCAAAGACAAAAGGUAUUUUAUAGUAGUUGAUGAUAUAUGGGAUGUACAAGCUUGGAAAAUUUUGGAGUGUGCAUUUGCUAAGGGUGGUCGUCCUGGCAGCAGAAUAUUGAUCACAACCCGAAAAAUGGAAGUUGCUAAAGUAUGUAGUUCACCUCCUGAUGAAGAUCACAUCUACAGGAUUAAAGCACUUAGUGAUGCUGACUCAAAAAAGUUAUUUUUCAAGGGAAUAUUUGGAUGCGAAGAAAAGUGCCCUUCUGAACUUAGAGAAGCCUCUAAUGGAAUUCUGAAAAAAUGCGGUGGUUUACCAUUAGCGGUAAUUACUAUAUCUAGUUUGCUGGCAACCGGGCAGAAAAAAGAAGAUCAGUGGGAAAGGGUGCACAGAUCUAUUGGCUUUGCAUUUGGCAGGAGUUGUGAGGUUGACGGAAUGCGAGGGAUAUUAUCCUUGAGUUAUUUUGACCUUCCACACUGUUUACGAAGUUGCCUCAUGUAUUUGACUCUAUUUCCUGAAGACUAUGUGAUUGAAAGGGUUCGUUUAGUGCACAAGUGGAUUUCCGAGGGUUUCAUCGUCUGUGGGCAGGAUACUAACAAUCUUGUAGAACUAGGAGACAUGUAUUUCCAUGAGCUUAUUAAUAGGAGCCUGAUACAACCAAUUGACAUUGGAUAUGAUGGUAAGGCACGGGGCUGCCGAGUGCAUGACACUAUCCUUGAUUUCCUCGUCCAAAAGUCGGCGGAAGAGAACUUUUCUGCUACGCUGAUGCUAAGAAGCAAUCAGCAGCAGCAGCAGCAGCAGCAGGAAGCCAGCAAAUUCGUCCGUCGGCUAUCGCUGAUUGCACACGGGACUAGUGAUCAGGAAGAAGAAGCCAACAUAUAUAAUGUCCUAGAAGAAUGCAUGGAUACGUCUCAUCUUCGAUCAUAUAGUAUUUUUGGGCGGGGCUCCAAGAAACUGUUGUCUUUUAUUCCGUACUUGAACUAUUUGCGUGUGUUGGACAUAGAAGGCUGCCCCACACUUGAAGACGAUGAUCUGACGAACAUUGGAAGGCUCUACCAGCUAAGGUACCUGAAUGUUAGUAAAACAGGUAUAACUUCAUUUCCGACAGACAUGGAAGGUUUGCAGCACCUAGAUACACUUAAUGCAAGAUAUUGUCGUCGUCUUAGGAACCUGCCAAAAGCUUUCAUCUGGUUUAAGCAAUUGGUGCGCUUGAUCGUCACAUAUGGCACUAGACUACCAGACGGGAUUGGAAAUUUGAAGAACUUACAAGAGCUUGGUGAUGUUUACGUGCCCAAGUGUUCGCUCAACUUUCCGCAGGAACUAGGUGAGCUAACAAAUCUGAGGAGUCUGAGUAUUGGGUUGGACACGAUACAAGGCGACAAAGCAUGUUACAUGGAGAAGCUGGUGUCCUCUCUCUGUAAACUGGACGCAUGCAACCUCAGUGAUCUGUCUCUUGUAUUAGCCCUGCACGGAGACGGACACGGCGAUGACAUUGUGUCGUUCCCUGCUCUAAGUAGCAUCCGAAAGGUUUGGCUCUCGAGUCCAGGAAUCUCCAAGACCACCACCAGAUGGCUAGUCUCGCUCGUCAACCUAGAAUACUUGAAUAUCUACGUUGCUGAUGUGAUAGAGCAGCGAGACAUUGAGUUGUUAGUUGGAAGCAUACCUACUACUCAUCUGCUUGAUCUUACAGUAACUGUCCGUAGGACCUACAACUUCGUCGGGCCACAAGUCUUCAUCAUCCGAGGGUUUCAACAGGUGCAGAGAUUUUCAUUUCGUUCUGAUGAUGACUCUUCAGGGACGUUGGUUGUCCAAGUUGAAGGAGGAUCCGGAGGGGCCAUGCCAACGCUGAAAGAACUUAAGCUCAAGAUCCACCCACCAGCGUUAAAUUCAGCUGUACUAGGUGGUUUUGAUUUUGGCAUUCAGCACCUCUCCUGCCUUGCGAGCUUCACCCUCAGGGGUGUAAAAAUGGCUUCUUCAGAUGUCGAGGCUGCGGAGCGUGCUUUCAAGUCCAUGGUCGAGACCAUUGUUCUGAACGACCGGCUAAGGCAUUUGGCGGCUCCAUCUUCAUCACGCUUUGUUGGAAUGUAAAUCAUCCACAGACCACAAGUGGAGGCAGCACAUGAAACCAACAUGGAGAAGAAAAAUGAAAUGGCAUUCCACAUGAAGCUUGUGAAAAAAGAGUUAAACUCGUAAUUUAUUC